rnacentral:rRNA from 1 species
AAACGGCCGCGUUAGCGUGAGCGUGCUAAGGUAGCGUAAUAAAUAGCCUUUUAAUUGGAGGCCAGUGAAUGGCAAGACUGGGGAUACCUAUACCACGCGUGAUAAAAAAACUUUUCAUUUGAGUGAAAAGACUCAAAUACCAAAAGAAGACGAAAAGACCCCGCGGAACUUUACCUUUUCUGGUGCACACAUGCUCAGAAACACGCAAAACAAAAGGUUUGAUUGGGGCAAUCUCGGAACCAACCAAACUUCCGACUUAUUAACAUAAAAUAUACGAAAUUUAAUAAAGAUCAAAAAGAAGUUACCCCGGGGAUAACAGCGUAAUCCAACUUGAGAGUACGCAUCGAAAGUUGGGUUUGCGACCUCGAUGUUGGCUUAAGG